rnacentral:rRNA from 1 species
AUGGCGGCGGCGAUUCGACACGCGGCCAGAAGGCUCAGCGGCGGCAAGGCGGUUUACAAGCCCGCCGUCUCGCCGCUGGUCGAGGUUGAGUGUCGCCGGCUGAUGCCAAGGCUCAUCUACGGUGGCCGUCAGCCUAUCCCUUUUCGUUUCCGGCCUUUGUCUGCCUCCGCCGGCGGCGCUGAUGUUGGCAACAGCACCCUGCAUCAACCAAAUGCAAAACCUGCGCUAGACCUCGACGCCAAGAGAGCAUGGGGCCGUCGUCAGAUAAUUGAAGUCGAGACCAAGAAGCGCGACCUCUUCUACCAGCUCGCUGAGCUUGAUAGCAGAUUCCCCUCGCGUAACAAGUACUUCCGAGAGAACAGGGAGCUUAUCCACCAUCUCUUCGGACACAUUGAGCCCAAUCCCAGUGAUGCCCUCUGGCGCUUCUGUCGUGCAAGAGAAAGAUUCAAUAAUUGCCUGGUAUAUGGACUGCCUACAAUGCUUGCCACUUGGAUGUAUCUGGAUUGGGAUGGAUGGAAAGAGAUGUUUGCUGAUAUCCUUGGAGUUAGUAGCUAG